UACGGAGGGUGCAAGCGUUGUCCGGAAUCACUGGGUGUAAAGGAUGUGUAGGCGGGCCUGUAAGUCAGAGGUGAAAGCCCACGGCUCAACCGUGGAAUGGCCUUUGAUACUGCAGGUCUUGAGUCCCGGAGAGGUCGCUGGAAUUCGUGGUGUAGCGGUGAAAUGCGUAGAUAUCACGAGGAACACCAGAGGCGUAGGCGGGCGACUGGACGGGUACUGACGCUGAGGCACGAAAGCGUGGGGAGCGAACAGG
rnacentral:misc_RNA from 1 species